rnacentral:rRNA from 1 species
AUUGAACGCUGGCGGCAUGCCUUACACAUGCAAGUCGAACGGUAACAGGUUAAGCUGACGAGUGGCGAACGGGUGAGUAAUGUAUCGGAACGUGCCCAGUCGUGGGGGAUAACUGCUCGAAAGAGCAGCUAAUACCGCAUACGACCUGAGGGUGAAAGCGGGGGAUCGCAAGACCUCGCGCGAUUGGAGCGGCCGAUAUCAGAUUAGGGAGUUGGUGAGGUAAAGGCUCACCAAGCCGACGAUAGGUAGCUGGUCUGAGAGGACGACCAGCCACACUGGGACUGGGACACGGCCCAGACUCCUACGGGAGGCAGCAGUGGGGAAUUUUGGACAAUGGGCGCAAGCCUGAUUCAGCCAUGCCGCGUGCGGGAAGAAGGCCUUCGGGUUGUAAACCGCUUUUGUCAGGGAAGAAAAGGUUCUGGCUAAUACCUGGGACUCAUGACGGUACCUGAAGAAUAAGCACCGGCUAACUACGUGCCAGCCGCCGCAGUAACAC